GGGCAGCGAAGCCGCGAGGUGGAGCAAAUCCCAGAAAACCGAAUCUCAGUUCGGAUUGCAGGCUGCAACCCGCCUGCAUGAAGUCGGAAUCGCUAGUAAUCGCGGGUCAGCAUACCGCGGUGAAUACGUUCCCGGGCCUUGUACACACCCGCCCGUCACACCACGAAAGUUGGUAACACCCGAAGCCGGUGGCCUAACCCUUAGGGGAGGGAGCUGUCGAAGGUGGGACUGAUGAUUGGGGUGAAGUCGUAACAAGGUAAC
rnacentral:rRNA from 1 species